rnacentral:rRNA from 1 species
GCCUGGCGGCUGUAGCGCGGUGGUCCCACCUGACCCCAUGCCGAACUCAGAAGUGAAACGCCGUAGCGCCGAUGGUAGUGUGGGGCUUCCGCCUGCGAGAGUAGGGAACUGCCAGGCAU